GAGGUGGGAGAGCCAUCACUGGAGAGGUGGCAUUGGCGCCAGUACUCAGGCCAGAAGCCCCUUGUGCCCUGCUCUCAGGGGUUUCCUCCCAUAUUGGAUCACGAUGAAAACUGCACAGAAAGUCCGUGCUCAGUUUCUUCCAUGGUUACAGAACACAGGCCCCAGACCAGGAAGGCAUUCUGCUAAAGAAGGGGACCCGAAACCUCAGCUACCAGCGCCGAUGGUUCAUCCUCCGAGGAAACCUCCUCUUCUACCUAGAACACUAGACCGACCAUGCACCCCUGAGCCUCAUCCUGUUAGAGAACUGCCAGGUGGAACCACACCUUAAGGCUGCAGAACCCUAUGCCUUUACCAUCCUGACCCCUGGGGUGGAGGGCACAGGUGGGCGGGCCUACAAGCUGGCUGCAGAAACCCAGGAAGAGCUGGAGACUUGGCUGUGGGCACUGGCUGGCGCGAGCUGGAGGCGGCUGGCUGGGCUGCUGUCCCCCCUCCCCCCCCACCAAAACCCAAUACUGGGAGCUGUGCCAGGCAACUGGCCAAGAACCCAUCUCAUCCCCAGAGGACAGUGGCUUUCUAGCCACUGUGAGUACCCCCUCCAGCUUCCAGGAGUUGCAUGAGCACUUUGGGAAGGAGAUCCGGGUGCUGCACGUGGUACAUAGAGAGCUCCAGGCAGCCAGUGACAAUGGAGACAGCAGAUCCCAGGCAAAGAUGGAGCAGGAGCUCAACCAGUGUCUGAUGAGUGACUGAGAGAUGGACCCAAAGCUAAGAGGUACCUACUUGCCAAGACAGCAGACUGCUUCAACAGAGACCCAGGUCCUGGCUCUGUCCCUCCCUCCCUCGUCCUUACCCCAUCCCCCCCUCAUCAAAUAACAAGGCAGAAAACAGGCCCAGGUACAACAGCAGGUUCUUUUCCAAUUCCUCAAAGCGCUGCAUGGGGUGGGGGCAGAGACAGAAGAGAAUGUAAACAUUGGGUUCCACCCCCUGGAGCUCAAGGGAAGACCCUUACCCAGAUAGGGACUAACUGGAGGGGUGGAAGGGAACAAGGUGAAAGGUAUGGGUCCUGGUGAGACAAAAGCAGGGGGGCCUGAGAACACAGAGCAAGGUGGGUUUGGAGGGAGCACAGCAGGGUGCAGGAAGGGAGAUGGGGGACAUUUCCUAUUCCAGUGCAUGUCCCCUUAAAUAAACUGGGUACAGGAGCAUUAUGGAAGGAGAACCAAAGGACAGAAGACAAAGCGAGCACCCCCACCCCAGGCCAACGCCAUCCUCUGUACACAAUUACAACACAGGUCCAGAAUGAGAGCCCUGGCCAGGAAGUGGGGGAGACAGGGAGGGCUGAAGACAGGGAAAAGGAAGCCAGCUCCACCUCAUGGUAAGGGGAGCUAUGGAGUGUAAGAAUCUGAAACUGCUGACUCCCAUCACCAGGAGUCACCCCUGGGAUGACAACGGGCCAUUCAGGACAGCACCUAGGAGGGGACCCAGAGGGAACUGGGGCAGGAGCGACAGAGACCCCAGCUGAGCCUCAUGGGAGAUGAGAGGCUCCAGACUCAUUUGCAGCUGCCCAUCUGUCCUGCCCGUGUAGGGAUCAGCAGCUGGCGAGGAGAUGGGGAACCAAGCCACUUUCCCCAGCAAGGGACAGCCUGACAAGGUGCUAGGGGGUGGCACCUUGGGCCAGGCCUGUUCUUGGCUGAGGGAAAGAGGGGGGCCAUGCAGUCCAGCCCCAGGGCAGAGGUCAGAAGUAAGCGUCCUGCCGGGCCUCGGCUGAGGGCCUGUCCCCACCAUCAUGGGGGCCUGGGGGCCCAUCUGCCUUUCGACGCAGCGAAAGCUUCCGGCCUUGAGCCUUCUUCUCCUGCUUCUGCCGCUCCUUCUCCUGCUUCUCUCGCUCCUUUUCCUGCUUCUCUCGCUCUUUCUCCUGCUUCUGCCGCUCCUUCUCCCGCUCCUUCUCCUGUUUCUGCCGCUCCUUCUCCUGUUUCUGCCGCUCCUUCUCCUGCUUCCGGGUCUCCUUGCUGGAACCCAAGGGGGUGCUAUUGCCAGUGGGUGAGGGAAGGGAUGGAUGCAGUCCCUCAGCAGUGACCACAGGCCCUGGGGCAGGCCCAGCACUGGCUCUGCGGACGGGGGGCGGCGGGGACGGGGCCCCUCCAGCUGCCCGGGAGCCUCGGCUCUUGAGGCCAGGGAGGCUGAGGAGGCUGGAGGAGGGGCCCAGGGGUGGCUGUUGCCGCCGGCGCUCCUCGUGGAUGGCCCGGGACCCAUGCAGUCGCCGUGAGGGCCGAUACUGCAGCUCCCCCCGCGUUUCCCGCCACUUCUUGAGCUGGGCUGCAUUCUCCCGCUCAAUCAGUGCUUCUGUCACCGGCAGAUUGGUCACCUGCACAGAGAGGAAAUGCGUACCAGAAUGGAGCUGAGGGUGGGAGCGGGCUGAGGCAGGCAGGGGCUGCGUUGAGGGCACAGGCCUACCUCAUGCACCAGGAAGUCUUCCUGCAUGCACUGCUGGGGCAGGUUACGCAGCUGCUCCAUGGUCUCAUACAUGCCUUGGCAGGAGCGCAGCUUCUCCACUGAGCCCAGCGUGUGGCGCAGCAGGACCAGGGCCACCCGGAAGAUGAUCUUAACGCCUGCAGGGGUGGAGAGUAGAGAGCAUGGGGUGGUCAGACCCAAGAUCUCAGCCUGUCCUGAUCAGGAUAGACUCACAGCCCCCAUCCCCAUCUACUGCCAAUCUCAGAUGAGGAAACUGAGGCCCUGUGAAAGUACAUGAGCUGCUAUCAGUCUCAGGAUCUUGGCAGGGAGAGCAGGCUCUGGGUUGGUGGCAGAACUAAAAUCAGGCCUGUUUCUCCAGCCCCCAGCUGCUUAUGGUGAAACCUCCACCCAACAAGUACCUUUUGUCCAUGGACCACCAGAAAUAUGACAGAACCCCUGGUAGCCACCACAGAAACCCCAGCCCCUCAUGGCCUGGAGGGCCACAGAAGUACCUUCACAGAAAAACAUGUCCCAGACACGCAGCACCGACGCCCAGGGCAGGGUGCGGGCGAAGAUGCACAUGAACCACUCCGUCAUGUAGAGCACAGGGUCAAUGCGCUGCCGCCGCAGGUGGCGAUGCGCCAGCGGGGAGGCCCGGCGCAGGAGUGCAAAAAAGAUCUCCCCGUCCAGCUGAAUGGCCUCCUGCAGGUGGGACAAGCCAUGAGAAGAGGGCCAAGUCAGCUGUGCCCCCAUCAGGGGAGAACUGGCCGGCCCUGUGGGCAGAAGCCGGGAAGGCCAGGGUGGGGCAAGGCAAGGACCUGCCUGCAGCCUGGAGGAAACGCCACAGCCCCGGAUGCACCCAGCCUCCAGACACUCACCAGCCCUGCACUGUAGUAACCUGGGAGGUACUUGUCGCAGAUCUGCACCAGGCACCAAAAGGCUUGCUGAGAAGAGCAAGAACAAGGAGGAGGGGUGGGGCCUGAGAAGCAGGGAGCAGGGAGCUCCCCCAUCACCACUGUAGGGUGAGAUCCCCCCUGCCCCUCCCGGCCCAGGACCAGGGCGCUGACCUCCGCAGGCAUGUGCAUGAGCAGGACCGCAGCCACGGGGGCCUGGGCCUGGCAGUAACCCUCGUCAGGCCGGUAGAUGGUGUAGGCCUUCAGGAUUCGGUACAGGUCCUGUUGCCUGUGGGGGUUGGGGAAGACUGUGAGGGCAGUCACGGGCUGAGAGCUCUGUCCCCAAACCCAGUUCCAGAUUCGUCCCAGAGUUUAUCACCAGGCUCCUCCAUCCACCUGCCCAGUCCUGCUGAGCGAGCUUCAGCUAAAGGCUCAGCCCACAGCAGAGCACUCCAGGCCCCGGGGCUCCGCCUUUGGCUACAUACUCCACAUGCUCCUGGCCAUCCCAGCACAGGCUGCACCCUCGCCCUCCUUCCUCAGCCACAUCCCAGAAACCUUCCAGGUCAUUUUCUCCAGGAAGCUUUCCACAGCUGCAGCAUCAGCCCUCCUCUAGCACUAAAUGUCUUUGUCACCCCAAAGCAGUAGCUCCCCAGGGCAGGGCCUGCCUUAUCGGUCUCACUGGAUUUCAUGGUUCUUGGGGAAGGCUUGGAAGCCAGCUGUGCCUCAGCCCUUUCUCCUGUCUCUGCAUCCAAAAGAAUAAAAUCUGUACCCUAGA
rnacentral:lncRNA from 1 species